rnacentral:rRNA from 1 species
CCUACGGGAGACAGCAGUGAGGAAUAUUGGUCAAUGGCCGGAAGUCUGAACCAGCCAAGCCGCGUGAGGGAGGAAGGCGCAGAGCGUCGCAGACCUCUUUUGCCGGGGGACAAAAUGCCGGACUCGUCCGGUCCUGAGUGUACCCUACGAACAAGCAUCGGCUAACUCCGUCCCAGCAGCCGCGGUAAUACGGAGGAUGCGAGGGUUAUCCGGAUUCAUUGGGUUUAAGGGGUGCGCAGGCGGGCCUUUAAGCCGGCGGGGAAAUCCCGGGGCUCAACCCCGCCGAGCCGUCGGAACUGGGGGCCUGGAGUGCGGUGGAGGCAGGCGGAAUGCGCGGUGUAGCGGUGAAAUGCAUAGAUAUCGCGCAGAACCCCGAUUGCGAAGGCAGCGUGCCGUGCCGCAACUGACGCUGAGGCACGAAAGCGCGGGGAUCGAACAGGAUUAGAUACCCUUGUAGUC